GGCAGCGAAGAGGUGUAAGCGAGCAGGGUGGAGGAGGAGAGAGAGAGAGAGCUAGAGGAUACGGAGCGUGCGGCGGUGGCGAGCGGGAGCGCGGCGGCGGCGGAGGCGAGCGGGAGCGCGGCGGGGGAACGGAGAGAGAGAGGGAGGUUCGGGAUCUUGGAGUGGGCGCGGAGGGUCGAGGUGGCGGCAGGUCCAGGUCGGGGUACGGUGGCAGCAGAAGAGCGGGUCGGCAGGCGGUGGUGUGGCGUGCGAGCACGCGUCCCCGCUCUUCCCCUUGGUGGCGGGCGAGGGCCUCGCGCUCCUCCUGCACCACUACGUCGCGGGUCUAGGUGCUGCCGUAGUUGCGCGGCAGCAGCUGGACUCGGUGGUGGCAGGAGCUCCGGCCGGUACCUCACCCCCAGACUGGGUCCAUGUCGGCACCUGCCUCUGUGGGGUUUGGGAUCGUAACGACGACGACCAGUUCCACGUGCGUGCGCAGGUCGUCGCUUGGGAUCGGAGCCUGCUGUCGUCGCCGGUAGUGGUUACUACCGUCGCUGUCCCCCACUUAAUCAAGACGUUCAGUUGGGGAAAAGAGGAGGAAAGGUGAGAACAGACCACGAAUACACCCUGAGGUUAUCAAAAAACCUGCACAACCGACCAGCCUACGCCGUUAAAAAAACCUACGUAAUCGAUAAGCUCGGACCUAUACCAGACAAAGGAAAACACUUUAAUCCCCUAGACGAACCCAGCAUCAACCUAAGACAACCAAAUUCUAUAAAGUGACCAGACUGAUAACCAAACCCAAUCAGGGUCUAAAUCCACAAAGAGAACUACUAAUUAACAACCUAAUGUAAUACAAUGUUAUACUGCGUCUAAACAACGGUAAGCCCCAAUCAGGGUCUAAAUCCACAAAGAGAACUACUAAUUAACAACCUAAUGUAAUCCAAUCUUAUACUGCGUCUAAACAACGGUAAGCCCAAUCAUGGACGAAAUCAAGAAAAAGAAUUCCUAAUCAACGUACUUAGUGUACGGACCAAUUAAAUUGCCUAACAUGGAAAGCACCAACGACAAGUCACCCAAAUCCUCGGUAAGAAUCCACGAACUAACCUCGAACAAUCCACUUCCACUACUCUACCUAACACGUACCCGAGACAAGAACCUUUAACAGACGGACUUACCUAACCAAUUGGGUUCGAGAAGGAACAGGCAAAUAGAAGCCCCAACCUGUAGACUGUUCAACCAACCCUUUUAUAUUCUGUUAGACACAACGACAUCCACACCAAGACUGCAAGAACCUUAGUUACAUGAUAAAAGUCCCCGACCUAAACAGACAUUAGCUAAUCCGGAACGUUUUCUCUCCACCCCUUGUCCAAUAAGCACCCGAAGACAACAACCUAAGAAUCUACCACAGUAACAACUAAACAAAAGUAACCAGGAAAGAAUUAACAAACGGAACCGCCAGUCACUCCAACGUACCAACCAAUUCUUGUACCCACCAGAUACGGACAACACCCACGUCAACAAACAUAAUCUCAUAACAGGAGUUCACGAUCUAAUUAAACCAGGAACGAAUCGUUACAUUAGUGUCCUUACCUAUCCAGUGUACCAACUAAUCUUUUUCUCGUGACCCAAUCAGAGACUAAACCAAGAAACAGAAAUCCUAAGUGACGUGCGACUUAAUACAUUCCGAUUUUACACAGGGUUUAAAGAACCAAGCUCACAAACCGAACUCCCAACUAACAACCGGACCCAACCAGAGACUAAAUCAAGAAAUCGAAUUCCUAACUAACGUACCGACCAAUCAUAUUAAUUCUAAUUAACAACCAGACCCAAUCAGAGACUAAAGCAAGAAACGGAGUUCCUAAUUAAUAUAACAGGACAAUAAGAACUUCCAAUUGUCACCACUACCUGUCACAACCGGCACUCGAUAAAAAUCCGAUCUUUAAUAAAGAAAGAAUACUUCCAAUUAAUAUAAGUGUUGUAGUAUAGAGCCUUUUCUCGCCAAUGCUUAAACAAAUCACAGUCCUCACGUUACCUAAUACUAGUUAAUUCUGUUUAGAUACCUGUUAGCAAUGUUUACACUGAUAAAGUAACGGACGUUUAAAUCAUGAAUGAGAAUAAAGGUCCUAACAACCAGCCAAGAUAACGAUAAAUAACACGUUCCUGGGAGAAAACGACCGGAGCAAGAAGACGUGACACAUGGGAGAAAACAACCUAGUCGGAAAAUCUACUAAACGGUCACACACACACGAGAACCAUAUUACUACACUACUUGAUUAACUAGGAUGAAUCCUCCAUCCUAGUGAUAAAUGGAAAUAACAGCGCUAAUGUACACCACACAGAAAGAAACUACACACACAACCGUACGACGGAAACUAAUAUAAACCCAGACAUGUUAUACAAUACACGAAUAGUACUAACGAUCUGGUACCGGACGAGACUAAUCAGAAACGUAAAAAAACGUAAAAGAUAAACAACAUCUAUUGUAAGUUACGUGACAGACUUCACGCAGGCACAUUGAGCGAGAUCGUAUGGGACACACACGUAUAGUGCAGACACCGUAGUGGUACCACCUUGGCUUUUACCUGGAUAGUUCCUCUACCUACACCAAUAUGAUCUACGUCCCAUUGGUAUACAUACGUCUCUACGGACUCUUUAAACAAUUGGUUAAAUAUACACAGGGGGUUCUCACACCCAACUACUAGACAGCGUUCAAAGACCAGAAAGAGUUCUUCAUACAGAAGCCCGACCACCUCUCAGUUAUGUACUAAUUCAAGUGAUCCAUAUGUUGACAACGCACUACCCUCCCAGAUCUUCGUCUUAAAGGAAAGACGUGGAUACAGGACUGAGGUUAAUUAGUCGAGGGUUCCGGAUGUUUGUGCGGACUCGCAAAGUGUCUACACCAACCCUAAUAGGGUCCAAAGAAACAAGAAAGUACAACCUUAGUCACUGUUAUGGAACGGCCGUGAGGAGCAUAAGAGAGGUGAUACAAACCGAUUCCAACGUUUCCACCCAUGCUCCUCUACUCAGAGCACCGCCACUCGCCUUGCCUCUGUUCCUACCGCUGAAAUACGAAGAGCCUCUGGAGUAGACCUCCACCACCGGUUUCCGUUUACCAUGUCUUGGAGGUACUCUAAAACUUAAGACGAACUACGUAUGUUCUUUCCUAUAACACUUGUAAACCAAGUAAAACCAACACCUAACUGGAUACAACACGUUCCUUUGUACAACAGUGCGGAAGUUGUAAUAGCUGCUGGAAAGACUAAACCUCAACAUGAAGCAAUAACACUUAUUACUUAUACCAGUUGUUAGACUUCUUCUCAGUGGAAGACGGCUCUCUCACUACGCACAAUGACGGCCCUCUCGACGAAGAACGGCCCUCUCACUAUAGUUGGACGCUACACAAUUCGCCUAGUGACACAUUGACUUACUAGUUAGUCUCUUCUCAUAAAAAGGUGGUUUUCACUCCACUUUACAAAGACAAGUAGAACCAACAUGAAGUCUAUUCUAAAUCGAUGUCUAUUAGUCAUCAGUGGAUUACAUAAACAAACGGUUCACACAUCACUCUCGAUUCCACAGUGACCAAUAAAAUGUAGGAAAUAAGAAUAAGGGAAAUUGGAGGUUUACUUUAUGAGAUCCUCUAAACAACCACGAGGUAAUUGGUUUAUAGCGACUGUUUUACACCAACAGUAAAGUCAACUCUCUUUUUAACGUAUGAAACACUUGGUUACCCUCUAAGUAACAAAUUAUAAUAAGAAAUUAGUGAUUUAGUAUAUCCUCUAAGGAAACCACGGGGUAAUUGGUUUAUAAUCAUAAUGAUUAUUUUGACUGUUUUACAAUAAGACCCACGCUGACUCGGGACGACUCCGUUCCAGUGGGGAAAAUGGGCGAAUGUAGGAGUUUGUCACUCAGGGACUGUGGGGAGAGAGAUAACUAGUAACAACUCCUUUAGCAAUUGAACAUCGACGAGCCAACCGACUGCUCAUCCCCUAAUUAUCCGAUUAGCCGUUCAAUUAGCCGGUAAAUUAGUUAAUGAGCCCACUAAUUAGUCAAUUAGCCGAUGAGCCACUGGGAUGCUCAUCCCCAAUUAACCGUUCAAUUCACCAAUUAGCCUACUUAAGAACUUGUCCC
rnacentral:rRNA from 1 species